UAAAAUACAAAUACAAAUAGAAAGAUAAAAAGAUAAAAUAAAAAAAAAAUCAAAUCAAAUCAAAUCAAAUCAAAUAAAAUAAAAUCAAAUCAAAUCAAAUCAAAUCAAAUCAAAUCAAAUCAAAUCAAAUCAAAUCAAAUCAAAUAAAAUAAAAUAAAAUCAAAUCAAAUCAAAUCAAAUCAAAUCAAAUGAAACAAAAUAAGAUAAAAUCAAAUCAAAUAAGACAAAUAAAAUAAAAAGAAAGUCUAAUCGAUCAAGAAUCACACACAUAGAAUAGUUCUACCAUGAGUCCUCGGCAGCGGCGCCAAAAACUUGUUAACAAAUUGACAAGCGUACCAAAUCGUUUCAAGUAAUAAUAAAUGGUAAGUCCAAGUAUCGUUUUCCCAAGAGACUCACAACACUAAACUGUGUUGCUUUUGCUUAACCAAUCAAGACUAUAAAAAUAAUAUUUUGGGAUUUUUAUAAAGUGUAGAAAAAUAAACAUGAAUGUAAUUUGAUCAAUUGAGGUUAAACACAAAAGUGGGUGGAUGAUGUUGAUAAUAUGAGAUGGAUUUGUUGCUAGGAUUUAGAUUUCACCCAACCACUCUCUCUUAUCUACUUUUCUUAUUAAAUUCGCUUCAUUAUCAUAUUGUCAUGCAAACUUUCUUGGCCUACCCUUAACCUGAUCCCUCGACGAAAAGAGCCUAUUACUAAUUACUGGUUUGUUAUCCCUAGCAAUUAAUAAUGCAUUACAGAACAUAAGCAAAAACAAUUGAUCGCCCUACCCCUAUCCCGAGGUGGUAUUGCUUAAUCAAGGAAUUACUCACCAGUUCAUGACAUUACUCUACGUUCCCGUAUCAAUAAAGACAAACAACAGUUAUCGAUUGAGUUAAACGAUAAAAGCUUUAAGCACAUAUGAGAACCCAAUAAUUGAUAAUCAAAGCAUACGACAAACAUAUAAUUAAAUAAGAAUUUCAAUAUAAGAGAGUUUAAAUGUUACAUCUUUCCCCAACAACAAAUAAGAUUAGUUCCCCAUCGUCAUGGAGAAACUAGGUGAAGAAUGGAAUGAAAGAGAUAGAAACCCUAAAAAGGAUAAAAGAGAGAGUUGUCACCAUCUCCAAAUAUAGCCCCAAAGGGGUGAAAAGUGUGUUUCUGCGCCUAAGCCAUCAAAAGAUACAAACCCUAAGAUGUUCUGGCCUUUAAAAAGGGCAUAAAAAUAACAUAAAACAAGCCCUAGCCCAAACAGAUCAUAAAAAUUGCAGAAAACAGGUCUAAGCCCUGCAGACCACUGCCCGACAUAACACUUUGGUGCCCGGCGGUUUCCCUUCAAUCGCGCCACCGCCUGGCGUUGAGUUUCACAGCCCGGUGGUUUGCCUCAAGCCACAAAAUCGCCCAGCGGCACCGCUUGGGCGCCAGACAGUGGCUCUGGUCAACUGGUUGACUUUUCUGCACGGUAACUACUUGGUACUGCAACCCUUCUUUCAAAUCAUUUCAAAAACCUACAAAAUCAAGGGAAUUUAUUGAAAAAAUCAUAAAACAUGUCCUCAACUCUUUUAUUCACAAAACUAAAGAAAAAACAUGAUUCCAAGCAAGUGUCUAA
rnacentral:lncRNA from 1 species